UACGUAGGGUGCAAGCGUUGUCCGGAAUUAUUGGGCGUAAAGAGCUCGUAGGCGGUUUGUUGCGUCGGCUGUGAAAUCCCGAGGCUCAACCUCGGGUCUGCAGUCGAUACGAGCAAACUAGAGUGUUGCAGGGGGAGACUGGAAUUCCUGGUGUAGCGGUGGAAUGCGCAGAUAUCAGGAGGAACACUGGUGGCGAAGGCGGGGUCUCUGGGCAGUAACUGACGCUGAGGAGCGAAAGCGUGGGGGAGCGAACAGG
rnacentral:rRNA from 1 species